UUUCCGUAGGUGAACCUGCGGAAGGAUCAUCAUCAAGUUUUAACUAAUAUCAAGGACUCUGUGAGGGGCAACCUUUGCAGAUUCUCCUUGGUAUUUAACCAAUGUGAAUUGGGGGAAGUAUAUUGAAGGACGCAAGUCUUGACUAUAUAUUGAACUCAUUUUUUCUCUUGAUGCAAAGACCAAUGUGUGUCAGAGCACAUAUGUUUUAGUGUCUUGAGAGAUAUUAACUAUUAAAAGAGUCGGAUAAAAAACAAAAAGUUAAAAACAACUUUUAACAAUGGAUCUCUUGGCUCUU
rnacentral:misc_RNA from 1 species